rnacentral:rRNA from 1 species
GAUGAACGCUAGCGGCAGGCCUAAUACAUGCAAGUCGAACGAGAUUGUUGUAGCAAUAUGACAUGAAAGUGGCGCACGGGUGCGUAACACGUAUGCAAUCUACCUCUAAUUGGAGAAUAGCUUCGAGAAAUCGGAAUUAAUACUCCAUAACAUUAUUGAGUGGCAUCACUUGAUAAUCAAACUUCCGGGGAUUAGAGAUGAGCAUGCGCAACAUUAGCUAGUUGGUAAGGUAAUGGCUUACCAAGGCUACGAUGUUUAGGGGGUCUGAGAGGGUGAUCACCCACACUGGUACUGAGACACGGAGCAGACUCCUUCGGGCGGCAGCGGUAGUGAAUAAUUGGCAAUGGUGGAAACUCUGACCCAGCCAUGCCGCGUGCAGGAUGACGGCCCUCUGGGUUGUAAACUGCUUUUAUACGGGAAGAAAAAAACUACGUGUAGUAUACUGACGGUACCGUAAGAAUAAGGAUCGGCUAACUCCGUGCCAGCCGCCGCGGUAA